rnacentral:rRNA from 1 species
AGGAUAAACGCUGGCGGCGUGCCUAACACAUGCAAGUCGAACGCCCUACGCAAGUAGGGAGUGGCGGACGGGUGAGGAACACGUGGGUUAUCUGCCUUUCGGUGAGGAAUACCAGCGAGAAAUCGCUGACAAUACCGCAUACGGUUCUUUCGAGAGGAAGAACGAAAGUCGCAAGACGCCGGGAGAUGAGCCUGCGCCCGAUUAGUUAGUUGGUGGGGUAAAAGCCUACCAAGACUGCAAUCGGUAGCUGGUCUGAGAGGACGAUCAGCCACACUGGGAUUGAGAACGGCCCAGACUCCGUACGGGGGGCAGCAGUGAGGAAUUUUCGUCAAGUGGGGGAAACCCUGAACGAGCAACGCCGCGUGCAGGAAGAAGGUUUUCGGAUCGUAAACUGCUUUUCUGUGGGAAGAGAACGGACGGUACCACGAGGAAGAACGCCCCGGCUAACGUACGCGCCAGCAGCCGC